rnacentral:rRNA from 1 species
AUGGGGUUUGUUAAAUUGAAUGUGGAUGCUUCUUUUGAUCAUGAUCAGCUACGGGGCACAGCGGGUGUUGUUAUCAGAGAUGACAAAGGAAAUUUCAUAGUAGGUGGUAACUGGAAGAUUCAGUACUGUGCGGAUUCUUUGACAGCGGAGGCGUUAGCACUCGGGUUUGGUUUACUGUUGGCACAAAAAACGGGCUGCAAUCGUCUCAUUACUAAUUCUGAUAAUAUGGAUGUCAUUGACACAAUGAAGAACGGUGGAGAGUCUGCGGGAGCAGCGGUGGAAAUUUUUAAGGAUUGUUUUUUUAUGGCCUGUGAUUUUCCACAAACCAGUUUUGAACAUUGUAAUAGAGAAGCGAACAAAGUAGCUCAUAAGCUUGCUAGAUUAACAAAAUGUUCCAUGACUAGGGAUUGGAUAGAGAAGCCCAUGGAAAAUCUUGUAACUCUUCUGAUAUACGAUGUAACUAUUAUUUCUAAUUAA